rnacentral:rRNA from 1 species
GACGAACGCUGGCGGCGUGCUUAACACAUGCAAGUCGAACGAAGUGGCGAACGGGUGAGUAAUACGUGGGUAACUUGCCCUCAUUUUUGGGAUAAGCCUUGGAACCGUGGUCUAAUACCGAAUAAAGGGGGAUGGGCUCGGGGUUUCUCAUCGUGGUGGUGGGGUGAUGGCGUACCGAGGCGGCGACGGGUAGCCGGACUGAGAGGGGGAACGGGCACUGUGAGACGGCGAUACGGCCCAGACGCGUACGGGGGGCAGCAGUGGGGGAUAUUGCACAAUGGGUGAAGGCCUGAUGCCGCGAGUCCGAGUGGGGGAUGAAGGCUUUAGAGUUGUUAACGUCGUGCGCAAUCGGACGGGUAGGUGGAGAAGAAGCGCCGGCUAACUACGUGCCAGCAGCCGCGGUAAUAC